AUCUUUCUCAAUGAUCUGUGAAGCUUGGGGAAGAGCAUAACAUACAUUUCUCAUUUUUAGUUUUGAACCCACAUAUUCCCUUUAUUUCUGCACUUUGACCAGUUGUAAGUUUCUGGUAAACACAUCCACUGAACACGGAUCUGUCUUUGAUGAGCUCUGAGGGUUGAACUGAUCUUACACUUUGACCCAGAGAGUUCUAAUACCUGUGGUCCUUCUGAAGGAACCUGAACCAUCCUUAAGAGCAUGACAAGCAGGGAAGAAGGCAUUGCUACCAUGCCCCACAUUGAGAGACAUCCUUGAUGCUUCAUGAGGCCAUGUACGAUUGAGCAUGUUUUAAACAGGGAGAUACUUUACAAUGCAAUCAACAUUUCUGCAAACUUAAAACACUCCAAAUUUUAUUUAACACUAUUUAUUCAUUGACUUUUUUAUUAUUAAAUCUGAGUUUAGUGUAAUGCAUACAUGUGGAGGCAGAAAGUUGUCAUUGAGUGUUUUUAUCCUGUGUUUAUCUCCAUAGCACUGGCUCGGAACACAUCAAGCUUUUUCUGUGGAUGCUGGAUCUAGCUCAGGUCCCAGCGCUUGUGGAGCAAGUUCUGUUUCUGCAUAGCUAUUACCCCAUCACUUCAAAACUAAAUUCACUGAAAAAUAUUGAGAAAUGAAGUUCAGAAUCUAGGUUUUCAUUAUGAGGAUAUUUGGGAGCACAUUUCAGCUUUAAAUUUCGACAUUGCAAUAGAUUACAUGGUCAAUUACACAGGGGUGUGGUAAUACAUUUAUAAUGUGACACUUGGAGCCAUUGGCAUGAUUAAUUACCAUGCAUUAAACAUUGGCUGAGGAACCACACUUCAAAAUGAUUAUGGGAUUAUUACUAUUUAAACAUGUGCUAAACUGGGACGUGCCAAAGACUAGCAGCAUAUUUCCUUCAGAAAAUGUUUCAAAUUGCAAAGAGCUACACACAUCCAUAGCCAAAGAUAUGGGUAAUAGAAUUUAAAAGGAAGUUUUCAUAACACGUAUGUAGAUUGCAUUAGAUCUGGAUAUUUUAAUCUAUAAUAUGUCUUGGUUUUGUGGCAUUGGAAAAUCAUGAGUAUAAGCACCUAAGGCAAUGUUUUAUUUUUAAGCAAUACUUUAUUAUGUAGAUUGCAAUACAAGUCCCAGAUACAGAAUGGAAUAAGACUACAUCCCUAAUCUUGCCAAAGAAAUGUAAACAUUCUACUCUGUUGUGUAUUAUUUUCUGUCUUUUGACUACUUUUGGCUUAAUAUUACUGGAAAAACAACAGUAUUGAUUGUUGAAGAAAAUUUUGCUAUUCAUGUUUUCCAGACCUUUAGCCAUGUAAGAAGAUUGAUGAAAAGGUAUCAAUACAAUAAUUAUUAGAUAUGUACACAUACAUAGAAUAGACUAUUAUCAUUUAAAUUUAAAAUGCUGCAUAAGUUAUUUUUCAAGUAUGAAAACAUUAGUGUAUAUUUCAAACUCAAAGACUUCUGUUUUAGAUUUGAACAAGAUUAUUUUAAGAAAAUAAAUCAAUUUAUGAGGUUUAAUGUAAAAUAACAUUAAUAAAUCGUCAUAGUAUACACCCUAGUUGGGUUUUCUGCAUUGUGAAUUUAUUUUCAGCCUUAGCACGGAUAGAUCAUUUUUUUCCAGUGCACUGCCCUAUUUAAACUUUUCUUUUUUAGCAAGCUUGCAUGUGUUUCCAAUAGUUUUCUGACAGUGUAGUGACAGAGUCAUCAGUUUGGUAAAUCAAGAGGAAAGAAUAACAGAUUUCCCCAUGUAGGAGCCUCAAGUCACAUUUAGAAUAACACUGCUAUAAAUAAUAUCAUAGCAUAGUAUGGGGUGACACCUUUGAACUAAACUGUAAUGAUACAAUAUUCUUGAUGCAUAAAUUUAAUUUUGAACGAACACAAUUUUCAUUUUUAGUGGAUAAAAAUGUUUGGUUUUUGCAUUCUACUUUCAGUAUAUCUUUCAGCAUAAAGAUUACUUUAAAACAGUUAUUUAAGGUAGUUCCUCAUUAGUUUGUGCAUGAAUUUACAUAUUUAUUCAGCAUAGUUUCACAUAAAUAUAAAUAUUUUAGCAUUUAAUUGCUAUUUAUAAGCACUGGAUAAUAACAUAGUACAUAUAAGUGCAUUGUCUUCAACCUAUGGCAAAUUUCAAUUGACAGAGUGCCUCCUGCAACUUUCUCAUUGACACCAAGAAAUAAUGUGCCAUUUAUUUAUAUUUUAGAGGAGAACUUAGAACAUUUUGGCUAACUAGUACUCAAAAUGGUAAUUUUUUAAAUUUGGUUUAAUAGCAUACGGAAUAUUUAAUAACAAAUUUGAAAAGCUAACUAAAACUUAAAUUAUGGUUUUAAAAUGAAAAGUUAAAAUUAAAAUGAAAUAUAUUAUUUAUGUGCAUAAAGAAUUCUGCUGUCUGUUUGUCUUCAAAUGCAACUUUUUAAAACAUUUUGACAGAAGACAUUUUGCAGGAGUUUGUAUUUCUAUCC
rnacentral:lncRNA from 1 species